rnacentral:rRNA from 1 species
AGUGAACGCUGGCGGUAGGCCUAACACAUGCAAGUCGAACGGCAGCACAGUAAGAGCUUGCUCUUACGGGUGGCGAGUGGCGGACGGGUGAGGAAUACAUCGGAAUCUACUUUUUCGUGGGGGAUAACGUAGGGAAACUUACGCUAAUACCGCAUACGACCUACGGGUGAAAGCAGGGGAUCUUCUGACCUUGCGCGAUUGAAUGAGCCGAUGUCGGAUUAGCUAGUUGGCGGGGUAAAGGCCCACCAAGGCGACGAUCCGUAGCUGGUCUGAGAGGAUGAUCAGCCACACUGGAACUGAGACACGGUCCAGACUCCUACGGGAGGCAGCAGUGGGGAAUAUUAGACAAUGGGCGCAAGCCUGAUCCAGCCAUACCGCGUGGGUGAAGAAGGCCUUCGGGUUGUAAAGCCCUUUUGUUGGGAAAGAAAAGCAGCAGGUUAAUACCCCGCUGUUCUGACGGUACCCAAAGAAUAAGCACCGGCUAACUUCGUG